UCCGCUAUGGUGUAGUGGCUAGCAUUGGUCGCUUUCAUACUGAGUGCCGACUAGACCCGGGUUCAAUUCCCGGUGGCGGAA